AAUUAACUGCGCACGCGUUAGCGAUUGCAGCGGCAUCCUUAUUGGCCAUUAAAAGCAAAAAAGAUAUAGCGGAAAGCGCGACCCUUG
rnacentral:sRNA from 1 species